rnacentral:rRNA from 1 species
CGCGUAGGCGGCCUUUUAAGUCAGACGUGAAAACCCCGGGCUCAACCCGGGACCUGCGUCUGAUACUGGAAGGCUUGAAUCCGGGAGAGGGAUGUGGAAUUCCAGGUGUAGCGGUGAAAUGCGUAGAUAUCUGGAGGAACACCGGUGGCGAAGGCGGCAUCCUGGACCGGCAUUGACGCUGAGGCGCGAAAGCCAGGGGAGCAAACGGGAUUAGAUACCCCGGUAGUCCUGGCCCUAAACGAUGAAUGCUUGGUGUGGCGGGUAUCGAUCCCUGCCGUGCCGAAGCUAACGCAUUAAGCAUUCCGCCUGGGGAGUACGGUCGCAAGGCUGAA